rnacentral:misc_RNA from 1 species
GAUGAAGAACGUAGCGAAAUGCGAUAAGUAGUGUGAAUUGCAGAAUUCAGUGAAUCAUCGAAUCUUUGAACGCACAUUGCGCCCCUUGGUAUUCCGGGGGGCAUGCCUGUUCGAGCGUCAUUACAACCCUCAAGCUCUGCUUGGUCUUGGGCGUCACCGGUCCCCGGUGUGCCUUAAAAUCAGUGGCGGCGCCAUCUGGCUCUAAGCGUAGUACAUACUCUCGCUACAGACGUCCGGUGGAUGCUGGCCAGCAACCCCCAAUUUAUCAAGGUUGACCUCGGAUCAGGUAGGGAUACCCGCUGAACUUAAGCAUAUCAAUAAGCGGAGGA